CCCACGUGACCGCCACGCCCCAACCACCUUCCCUUUAAGCCGUCCCUUUAACAGCUGGGACCCUCAUGUGUAUUUCCGGGUUUCCACUGUGCUGCUGCUCACUGUUGGUUGUGGCGUUGGUUGUUAAUAAAACAAUCUCAAAUCUCCAACUCGACUCAUCGCUGAACGAAUUCAUCUCUAAAACUCGAGGAUCUGCGGUUGGGCUUUGUUGAUGCCUGGUUUACCUUCUGAUGAGAACAAGUAACAUCCACUUCCUCAGACAAUCCGUUACUCGACGGUCAGGUUUUUUUUCUCCCCCUUCAUCGACUCGCUUGCUGACGGAGGAUGGCGAGCUACCCACACACCACCUGGUGGUAGGAAAAAGAAAGACACUCUCCACACAGGAAAACCAAACAACACUUUCCAUACAGGCAACAAAAUAAACUCUAAGGGAGUAUCUAAAGGAAAAGAACAAUUCUCCCGUUGCUCUUGGACUUUUGAACUACAUUUGGUUUUGAAGUAUUAUUGAUUAUUUCAUUUUUGGUUUGUUCUUUUUCCCCGUCCUUGUUUCUUUUGAACAAUUUCUCUUUGUUUAGUUUUUGCUGUUAGUAUUAUUAUUAUUAUUAUUAUUGUCAUUAUUAUUAUCAUUACUAUUUCCACUGCAAUAAAUGGCAAUAUAAACAAAGCUCUUUGCAUCAGUUGCAUCAAUUAUCCACCAAAUCAUGACUCCAUGCCGUACCUAUUUCUGAUUUUAUAGAGUGGUUAACACUAAGCCCUGCAGUCAGACCUGCGCAUUUAAGAAGAGCGUUACAGGACACUUUAAGAAGGUAAAAGUUAUUUUUCCAAAAUGGCUUGAUGCAUUUUCAUGAAACUUCUAUCUUCAGGAUACAACCCUGAGACUUACUGGUAAUUAUUGAUCAAAGUGGAAGAAAAUUAUGCACAAAAAUGGAAGUCUAACUUGUCAUCUUUGAAAAAAAUCUAAACAGGAAUUUUAUGAUUAAUUGGUGGUUAGAUUUUUUUAUUUAUUU